AUGCAUAUCAUAAGCAUUGCAACAAGUGAGCAUAUAUCGGUACAUUGCUGCGUCAAUGACGCAGGACACUCUUUACCACCUAUGCUUAUCUUUAGUGGUGGAUACCCGGGAGGAGCAUACCAUAAAAACGGGGCCAUCAACGCUGCAUACGCUACAACAGACAGCGGUUUCAAAGACAAGGAAGCAUAUUUUCAGUGGUUUGAAAAAGUCUUCUUGCAGCACUGUGUAAAGGAACGUCCGAUUAUCCUAUUGCAAGUCCGAUGCUCAUUGAUAGUGCUCUUAAGAAUGACGUCAUUCUUCUUUGCCUACCGUCUAAAACAACACAUAUUUUGCAACCUUUGGAUUGUUCAGUAUACAAAAAUAUGAAAAUUGAAACCACAAAACAAGUUAGUAAUGCUUAAAUCCGACCUGUGGGUAUCAAAGAAAAACAUCAGCUUAAUAUUAAAGUAAUAUUUGAGAGAAGUUUCACUAUGGCCUGCAUACCACAAGAAUUCAAAAAGUAUGGCAUAUAUCUGUUUGAUCCCAACGCGAUUGACAAGACUUUGCUGUUCAGAGGGGGCAAUGAUGUCAACCCGGAUGACCUUGAUUUGUCUUUAAAUGACGAACCAACGAACGAACCCUAACUGUCAGCUAUUGAGGACAAUACCUCAGCUAAUACAGAAAACGAGCCAAAGACCAUAGUACAAGCGAUGCCAUUUACAAGUAACACGGACGUGACAACCAUCAUGGACCUUGAAGUUGGUGCCAACGGUAUUUUAUCUCCUAUGAUCAACACUACUUCUGAUGCUACAAAAUCCCACACUACUUCUGAUGCUACAAAAUCGUCAAACGAAAUUGAGCUAUCAAGUACAACUACAUGUCCACCAUAA
rnacentral:sRNA from 1 species